rnacentral:rRNA from 1 species
CACAAGCGGUGGAGCAUGUGGUUUAAUUCGAUGCAACGCGAAGAACCUUACCAGGCCUUGACAUCCUCGGAACUUCCAGAAAUGGAUUGGUGCCUUCGGGAACCGAGAGACAGGUGCUGCAUGGCUGUCGUCAGCUCGUGUCGUGAGAUGUUGGGUUAAGUCCCGCAACGAGCGCAACCCUUAUCAUUAGUUGCUACGCAAGGGCACUCUAAUGAGACUGCCGGUGACAAACCGGAGGAAGGUGGGGAUGACGUCAAGUCCUCAUGGCCCUUAUGAGCAGGGCUUCACACGUCAUACAAUGGUCGGUACAGAGGGUUGCCAACCCGCGAGGGGGGAGCCAAUCCCACAAAGCCGAUCGUAGUCCGGAUCGUAGUCUGCAACUCGACUACGUGAAGUCGGAAUCGCUAGUAAUCGCGGAUCAGCAUGUCGCGGUGAAUACGUUCCCGGGCCUU